GACGAACGCUGGCGGCGUGCUUAACACAUGCAAGUCGAACGGAAAGGCCCUGCUUUUGUGGGGUGCUCGAGUGGCGAACGGGUGAGUAACACGUGAGUAACCUGCCCUUGACUUUGGGAUAACUUCAGGAAACUGGGGCUAAUACCGGAUAGGAUCUCCUGCUGCAUGGUGGGGGUUGGAAAGUUCCGGCGGUUGGGGAUGGACUCGCGGCUUAUCAGCUUGUUGGUGGGGUAGUGGCUUACCAAGGCUUUGACGGGUAGCCGGCCUGAGAGGGUGACCGGCCACAUUGGGACUGAGAUACGGCCCAGACUCCUACGGGAGGCAGCAGUGGGGAAUAUUGCACAAUGGGCGGAAGCCUGAUGCAGCAACGCCGCGUGCGGGAUGACGGCCUUCGGGUUGUAAACCGCUUUCGCCUGUGACGAAGCGUGAGUGACGGUAAUGGGUAAAGAAGCACCGGCUAACUACGUG
rnacentral:rRNA from 1 species